GGAUUAGAAACCCGGGUAGUCCACGCCCUAAACGAUGUCAACUGGUUGUCGGGCGCUUCGGUGCUUGGUAACGUAGCUAACGCGUGAAGUUGACCGCCUGGGGAGUACGGUCGCAAGAUUAAAACUCAAAGGAAUUGACGGGGACCCGCACAAGCGGUGGAUGAUGUGGAUUAAUUCGAUGCAACGCGAAAAACCUUACCUGCCCUUGACAUGUACGGAACCUCGAUGAGAGUUGAGGGUGCCCGAAAGGGAGCCGUAACACAGGUGCUGCAUGGCUGUCGUCAGCUCGUGUCGUGAGAUGUUGGGUUAAGUCCCGCAACGAGCGCAACCCUUGCCCCCAGUUGCUACGCAAGAGCACUCCGGGGGGACUGCCGGUGACAAACCGGAGGAAGGU
rnacentral:rRNA from 1 species